GAUGAACGCUGGCGGCGUGCUUAACACAUGCAAGUCGAACGGUGAAGCAGGAGCUUGCUCUUGUGGAUCAGUGGCGAACGGGUGAGUAACACGUGAGCAACCUGCCCCUGACUCUGGGAUAAGCGCUGGAAACGGCGUCUAAUACUGGAUAUGUGAUGUGACCGCAUGGUCUGCAUCUGGAAAGAAUUUCGGUUGGGGAUGGGCUCGCGGCCUAUCAGCUUGUUGGUGAGGUAAUGGCUCACCAAGGCGUCGACGGGUAGCCGGCCUGAGAGGGUGACCGGCCACACUGGGAAGGAGACACGGCCCAGACUCCUACGGGAGGCAGCAGUGGGGAAUAUUGCACAAUGGGCGGAAGCCUGAUGCAGCAACGCCGCGUGAGGGAUGACGGCCUUCGGGUUGUAAACCUCUUUUAGCAGGGAAGAAGCGAAAGUGACGGUACCUGCAGAAAAAGCACCGGCUAACUACGUGCCAGCCGCCGCGGUAA
rnacentral:rRNA from 1 species